GAUGAACGCUGGCGGCGUGCCUAAUACAUGCAAGUCGAGCGAACAGACGAGGAGCUUGCUCCUCUCACGUUAGCGGCGGACGGGUGAGUAACACGUGGAUAACCUACCUAUAAGACUGGGAUAACUUCGGGAAACCGGCGCUAAUCCCGUAUAAUAUCUUGAACCGCAUGGUUCAAUAGUGAAAGACGGUUUUGCUGUCACUUAUCGAUGGAUCCGCGCCGCAUUAGCUAGUUGGUAAGGUAACGGCUUACCAAGGCGACGAUGCGUAGCCGACGUGUGAGGGGGGUCGGCCGCACGAGAGCGGGGACGCGGUCCAGGGUCCUACGGGAGGCAGCAGUAGGGAAUCUUCCGCAAUGGGCGGAAGCCUGACGGAGCGACGGCGCGUGAGUGAUGAAGGUCUUCGGAGCGUGAAACUCUGUUAUUAGGGAAGAACAAAUGUGUAAGUAACUAUGCACGUCUUGACGGUACCUAAUCAGAAAGCCACGGCUAACUACGUG
rnacentral:rRNA from 1 species